AGGAUGAACGCUGGCGGCGUGCCUAACACAUGCAAGUCGAACGUCCUGUCUCGCAAGAGGCAGGGAGUGGCGGACGGGUGAGUACCACGUGGGUCAUCUACCGUGAGGUGAGGAAUACCGGCGAGAAAUCGCCGACAAGACCGCAUAGGCUCGAUGCAAGUCGAGCAAAGCUCUUUCGAGAGAGGGAGCGCCACACGAGGAGCCUGCGCCCGAUUAGCUAGCUGGUGGAGUAACGGUUCACCAGGGCGACGAUCGGUAGCUGGUCUGAGAGGACGAUCAGCCACACUGGGAUUGAGAACGGCCCAGACUCCUACGGGGGGCAGCAGUGAGGAAUUUUCGUCAAUGGGGGCGAACCCUGAACGAGCAACGCCGCGUGCAGGAAGAAGGUUUUCGGAUCGUAAACUGCUUUUCUCGGGGAAGAGAAUGGACGGUACCCGAGGAAUCAGCCCGGCUAACUACGUGCCAGCAGCCGCGGU
rnacentral:rRNA from 1 species